rnacentral:rRNA from 1 species
GACGAACGCUGGCGGCGUGCUUAACACAUGCAAGUCGAACAGUGGCGAACGGGUGAGUAACACGUGAGUAACCUGCCCUCCACUUUGGGAUAACUCCGAGAAAGCGGGGCUAAUACUGGAUAGUGGGGGAUGGGCUCGGGGCCUAUCAGUUUGUUGGUGAGGUAGUGGUCACCACGGAGUGACGGGUAGCCGGCCUGAGAGGGCGACCGGCCACACGGGGACUGCGACACGGCCCAGACUCCUACGGGGGGCAGCGGGGGGGAAUAUUGCACAGUGGGCGAAAGCCUGAUGCAGCGACUCCGCGUGUGGGAUGACGGCCUUCGUGUUGUAAACCUCUUUCAGCAAGGAAGCGGUACUUGCAGAAUAAGCGCCGGCUAACUACGUGCCAGCAGCCGCGGUAAUAC